CUGAAAUUAGGAAAAUUCAAAGAACUUUCUGGUGGAAAGUAGUGUAGUCUUCCUACUUUAGCUCAUGCUGCUGCUGCCUUUUUUUUUCUUCUCUAAGGCAAGGUUUCUUUUUUUUUUUUAAUGUGGUGCUGAGGAUCGAACCCAGUACCUCAUGCGUACUAGGCAGACACUCUACCUCUGAGCCACAACCCCAGCCCCAAGAUAAGGUUUCUUAAUAUUCUGUUUCUUAAUAACUGUUGCUGAAUCUGCUACUAAGUCUAAAUUAAAAACAAGAUCCCAUGUAAUGGCUAUGACUGUGUUGUAACAUGGGAUGCCAAAACAUUAAAUUUUGUUUCAAUUUUGACAUUCAAAAAUCUCUCAACCUGUAGCAAUAAAACAUUUUUGGAAAAUUAUUUAUCAAAUUGCACUUUUAACUUUCAGCAUGCAACCUAUGAGAUGGAUCUUGAAAUAAAAUAUUUGUAGUAUGAGGAGGUUCUGGAGAAAGUAAUGCUCUAUUUUUAGCAGCACAGAAGAGUGUCUUUUAUAUACUGUCUAGAUAUACAAAUUCCAGAGCAAACUGGUAUUUGCAUUAGGACAUAUCUCUUUAUGAUUACAUUAAAAAUGAGCCAAAGGAGAGGGAAUAGUAUAAGAAAGAAGUGGAAGUUUCCCACUGUUGGUUUAUUUAGGUGCCUUUAAGUACUGUCAGUUUUGGUACUAUUGCCAGAAGAAAGAAAAAACUCAGAUAAUAUUAGAACUUAUUACUAACUAGUCAACUAUAGACAAGAUUGGAAGUCUUCAGCGUCCUUUAUAGAAUUCUUUUGGCCAAAAACAAAACAUAGACUUUGUUUCAAGGCUACUUAUACCAAAAGUAUAAGCAAACUAACAGACCAUACUGUUUUAAAAAUUAGGUCUUUUUCUGUAGUUUAAGUGUCUUGUGUUAUUCCAUACAAGUGGUAUAAUUCUUUUUAACUGAAAAGAAUUGAUUAUGAUGAAAAUAUGCUUGAAAUUUUUCUGUGAUAUACACAUUUCCACUGCUGCUAAAUAUUUAACUUGGCUUCAAUAAGUACAAAUUAUUUUAGAAAAAAAUCUAUUUUUAGAGUAUAUUCUGGAUCUAUGGCUUGCUUUCAGUAUGUUAAUUAAAUUUAUAUUCUGUGCAUUAAGACAAACCUCCCUAACAUUCCAAGCC
rnacentral:lncRNA from 1 species